rnacentral:rRNA from 1 species
GGACCUCCAAUCAAGCAAGGCUACCCGCUGGAUUUAAGCAUAUAACUAAGCGGAGGAAAAGAAACUAACCAGGAUUCCCCUAGUAACGGCGAGUGAAGCGGGAAGAGCUCAACUUGAAAAUCUGGGAGGUAUUACCUCUCCGAAUUGUAGUCUAAAGAAGUGCAGCCAUCAGUUCACAGGGGAUAAGUCCCUUGGAAAAGGGCGCCCUAGAGGGUGACAGUCCCGUUCAUGCUUCUGUGAAUCUGUGUACGGCGUGCUCUCGA